rnacentral:rRNA from 1 species
AACGAACGCUGGCGGCAUGCCUAACACAUGCAAGUCGAACGAGACCUUCGGGUCUAGUGGCGCACGGGUGCGUAACGCGUGGGAACCUGCCCUUAGGCUCGGAAUAACUCCCCGAAAGGGGUGCUAAUACCGGAUCAUGUCUUCGGACCAACGAUGUAUCGCCCUUGGAUGGGCCCGCGUUGGAUUAGCCAGUUGGUAGGGUAAAAGCCUACCAAGGCGACGAUCCAUAGCUGGUCGGGGAGGGUGAGCAGCCACGCGGGGGCGGGGACACGGCCCGGACUCCUACGGGAGGCAGCAGUGGGGGAUAGUGGACGAGGGGGGGAGGCCUGAUGCAGCAGUGCCGGGUGAGUGAUGAAGGCCUUAGGGUUGUAAAGCUCUUUUACCCGGGAUGAUAAUGACGGUACCGGGAGAGUAAGCGCCGGCUAACUCCGUG